AGUGAACGCUGGCGGUAGACCUAACACAUGCAAGUCGAACGGCAGCACAGUAAGAGCUUGCUCUUACGGGUGGCGAGUGGCGGACGGGUGAGGAAUACAUCGGAAUCUACUUUUUCGUGGGGGAUAACGUAGGGAAACUUACGCUAAUACCGCAUACGACCUACGGGUGAAAGCAGGGGAUCUUCGGACCUUGCGCGAUUGAAUGAGCCGAUGUCGGAUUAGCUAGUUGGCGGGGUAAAGGCCCACCAAGGCGACGAUCCGUAGCUGGUCUGAGAGGAUGAUCAGCCACACUGGAACUGAGACACGGUCCAGACUCCUACGGGAGGCAGCAGUGGGGAAUAUUGGACAAUGGGCGCAAGCCUGAUCCAGCCAUACCGCGUGGGUGAAGAAGGCCUUCGGGUUGUAAAGCCCUUUUGUUGGGAAAGAAAAGCAGCAGGUUAAUACCCCGCUGUUCUGACGGUACCCAAAAAAUAAGCACCGGCUAACUUCGUG
rnacentral:rRNA from 1 species